rnacentral:rRNA from 1 species
GAUGAACGCUGGCGGCGUGCCUAAUACAUGCAAGUCGAGCGAACGGACGAGAAGCUUGCUUUUCUGAUGUUAGCGGCGGACGGGUGAGUAACACGUGGAUAACCUACCUAUAAGACUGGGAUAACUUCGGGAAACCGGAGCUAAUACCGGAUAAUAUUUUGAACCGCAUGGUUCAAAAAUGAAAGACGGUCUUGCUGUUACUUAUAGAUGGAUCCGCGCUGCAUUAGCUAGUUGGUAAGGUAACGGCUUACCAAGGCAACGAUGAAUAGCCGACCUGAGAGGGUGAUCGGCCACCCUGGAACUGAGACACGGUCCAGACUCCUACGGGAGGCACCAGUAGGGAAUCUUCCGCAAUGGGCGAAGGCCUGACGGAGCAACGCCGCGUGAGUGAUGAAGGUCUUCGGAUCGUAAAACUCUGUUAUUAGGGAAGAACAUAUGUGUAAGUAACUGUGCACAUCUUGACGGUACCUAAUCAGAAAGCCACGGCUAACUACGUG